rnacentral:rRNA from 1 species
CCACGGGUGGCAGCAGUGGGGAAUAUUGGACAAUGGGGGCAACCCUGAUCCAGCCAUGCCGCGUGUGUGAAGAAGGCCCUCGGGUUGUAAAGCACUUUCAGUGAGGAAGAACGCCUGGUGGUUAAUACCCAUCAGGAAAGACAUCACUCACAGAAGAAGCACCGGCUAACUCCGUGCCAGCAGCCGCGGUAAUACGGAGGGUGCGAGCGUUAAUCGGAAUUACUGGGCGUAAAGCGCGCGUAGGUGGCUUGAUAAGCCGGUUGUGAAAGCCCCGGGCUCAACCUGGGAACGGCAUCCGGAACUGUCAAGCUAGAGUGCAGGAGAGGAAGGUAGAAUUCCCGGUGUAGCGGUGAAAUGCGUAGAGAUCGGGAGGAAUACCAGUGGCGAAGGCGGCCUUCUGGACUGACACUGACACUGAGGUGCGAAAGCGUGGGUAGCAAACAGGAUUAGAUACCCCGGUAGUC